rnacentral:lncRNA from 1 species
UUAUGUUAGCCACGUUAUGCUGUCAAAAUUUUAUUGAUUAGUGGGUGAUUUAAUUAGCCACUACAGUAGGCGGGUUUUCGUGGACCAGCCUAUUAGAGGGGCACGGUAAACCCCGUUAUAUUUACCUUAGUAUGAGAGGCACGAAAGAUAUCUCCUAAGGCACGAUAGUGUUCACUUCACGCCGAACCACCACUUGAGGAUGAACUCUGCCAAC